rnacentral:rRNA from 1 species
GACGAACGCUGGCGGCGUGCUUAACACAUGCAAGUCGAGCGGUAAGGCCCUUUCGGGGGUACACGAGCGGCGAACGGGUGAGUAACACGUGGGUGACCUGCCCUCAGCUCUGGGAUAAGCCUGGGAAACCGGGUCUAAUACUGGAUAUGACUCCAUGACACAUGUUGUGGGGUGGAAAGCCUUGUGCGGCUGAGGAUGGGCCCGCGGCCUAUCAGCUUGUUGGUGGGGUGANGGCCUACCAAGGCGACGACGGGUAGCCGGCCUGAGAGGGCGACCGGCCACACUGGCACUGCGACACGGGCCAGACUCCUACGGGAGGCAGCAGUGAGGAAUAUUGCGCAAUGGGCGAAAGCCUGACGCAGCGACGCCGCGUGGGGAUGAAGG